UGGAAAAUGUGUGCGUUCAAAACUUGUUUAAGUCAUGCAACAGAAAACUCUAAUUGGACAGAUCGUCUAGCUAGCUAGCUGUCUGGAUUUAACCUACAGAGAUCUGAGGAGCAGUUUACCAUAGUCCUUAUAAAUCGGCUGCAGUUUGAAAUUACAAUACAAAGAAAGC